AUGACUUCAAUUCAAAUGGGCAAAAUUGUACAUCAAAUAACAGGGCAAUAAUGAAAUCACAACCUGGGUCUACUAGCAUGGAUGCUGAAAGCCAGAUUGCAGAGACCCUUAAACAUGCACCAGGUCUGGUUAGGAGAAAGGCUAAUCGAUCAGUUACUCCACAUUUACAAGAUGGCUC